CUCCCCCUCUAACACCAGUACCUUCUGACGCAGUGAAGUGCUCUGGCUAAGGGGGUAGAGUAUCAGGCUCUCUUCCCUCCUCAGUGGAUGCUUGUGUUCCACUUGGGGCCUGAAGAGAAGCCGACAGG